rnacentral:rRNA from 1 species
AGAGCGAACGCUGGCGGCAGGCCUAACACAUGCAAGUCGAGCGCCCGUAGCAAUACGGGAGCGGCAGACGGGAUGGUAACACGUGGGAACGCGCCCUUCGGUUCGGAAUAACUCAGGGAAACUUGAGCUAAUACCGGAUACGCCCUUACGGGGAAAGAUUUAUUGCCGAAGGAACGGCCCGCGUCCGAUUAGCUAGUUGGUGAGGUAAUGGCUCACCAAGGCGACGAUCGGUAGCUGGUCUGAGAGGAUGACCAGCAUCACUGGGACUGAGACACGGCCCAGACUCCUACGGGAGGCAGCAGUGGGGAAUAUUGGACAAUGGGCGCAAGCCUGAUCCAGCCAUGCCGCGUGGAUGAUGAAGGCCUUAGGGUUGUAAAGUCCUUUUAACGGGGAAGAUAAUGACGGUACCCGUAGAAUAAGCCCCGGCUAACUUCGUGCCAGCAGCCGC